UACGUAGGGUGCGAGCGUUAAUCGGAAUUACUGGGCGUAAAGUGUGCGUAGGCGGCCAUGCAAGUCGAGUGUGAAAGCCCCGGGCUUAACUUGGGAAUUGCGCUCGAAACUACGUGGCUGGAGUGUGGCAGAGGAAGGUGGAAUUCCACGUGUAGCGGUGAAAUGCGUAGAGAUGUGGAGGAACACCAAUGGCGAAGGCAGCCUUCUGGGCCAACACUGACGCUCAUGCACGAAAGCGUGGGGAGCAAACAGG
rnacentral:rRNA from 1 species